GCAUAUCAAUAAGCGGAGGAAAAGAAACCAACAGGGAUUGCCCCAGUAACGGCGAGUGAAGCGGCAACAGCUCAAAUUUGAAAUCUGGCCCCAGGCCCGAGUUGUAAUUUGCAGAGGAUGCUUUUGGCGCGGUGCCUUCCGAGUUCCCUGGAACGGGACGCCAUAGAGGGUGAGAGCCCCGUACGGUUGGACACCAAGCCUUUGUAAAGCUCCUUCGACGAGUCGAGUAGUUUGGGAAUGCUGCUCUAAAUGGGAGGUACAUUUCUUCUAAAGCUAAAUAUUGGCCAGAGACCGAUAGCGCACAAGUAGAGUGAUCGAAAGAUGAAAAGCACUUUGAAAAGAGGGUUAAACAGCACGUGAAAUUGUUAAAAGGGAAGCGCUUGUGACCAGACUUGCGUCCGGUGAAUCACCCAGCUCUCGCGGCUGGGGCACUUCGCCGGCACAGGCCAGCAUCAGCUUGCCGUCGGGGACAAAAGCUUCAGGAACGUGGCUCCUCUCGGGGAGUGUUAUAGCCUGUUGUAUAAUACCCUUCGGCGGGCUGAGGUACGCGCUCCGCAAGGAUGCUGGCGUAAUGGUCAUCAGCGACCCGUCUUGAAACACGGACC
rnacentral:rRNA from 1 species